rnacentral:lncRNA from 1 species
CUUUUUAGGGCCCCACCUGCAGCAUAUGGAAGUUCCCAUGCUGGGGGUGGAAUGAGAGCUGCAUCUGCUGGCCUUCGCCACAGCCACAGCCACACCAGAUCCUUAACCCACUGAGCGAGGCCAGGGAUCAAACUCACAUCCUCAGGGAUGCUAGUCAGGUUCUUAACCCAAAAGCUCCACAGCACACAGAGACUCUUCAUUUCAGAAGGCUGACCCACCAGUCAUAAGCUAGAAAACUACUUGUUAAAAUGAAUAUAGUUCCUGGGAAACAGAAUGCGAUUUUUAUUAUGAUUCAUAUGUUUUGCUGUGGACAAACCAUACACGCUACGUCUGAUAAGAAACACGAAGGCGGUAGAGAAAUCUUUGCUUUUUUAAAAAACAAUCCCUCAAAAGAAGAGCAGGGGUGGGUCAAGAAGGAUUUCUCCAUCCUAAAGAGAGAGAGAAAAUGAAAAGCAGAUAAUAGAUGACAUUAAAAACCCAAGGAGAAAUGCUCGAUGCUAUUUUUAGUCUCCAUUUUGAUACCAUAUUUUGAAAGGUCAAGGAGUAUGCAUCAUUUAUGAUGUGAAGGUGAAAAACUAAAUUGGACAUUGGACUUGGGAGGAAGAAGUACAAGACUGGUUUUUUUUUUUUUAUGGUGUGUUCAAGUCAGCAAAGAACCAUGACAUGCAUUUUGGGGUGAGCCAGCUGCUUCAAAACAGGCAGCAAAAGCCACUUCUUUAAAAGAGGUAGAGAAGAACAGACAACCGAGAGAUGACAUCAGUUACGGAUGUAAAUGAUAACUAUUAAUUGGAAAAAUGGCAGGAAAAGCAUCAACAUAAUUAGAAUGAUUUUGUCAGGAAUAAAUUAUCAGACACCCGUCAAUUCCUUCUAGAAAGAAUGGCAGGAAUUCUAAAUGGGGGUGGAUUGUAUGUGGACUUCAAAAGCUUUUUUAUUGAAAAGAGGACUCGGAUGCCUUCUACAAUAUUCAUAGACCUUCCUUUGGCUGAAGAAUACGUAUGGUUUCAACAUGUGAGCUUUCUAUGCAAGAACCGGUAAUUUAAAAGAGAAAAAAAGUAUGUUCUCAUUGAUUUCCCCCGGAUUCACGGAGGGACGACAGACACACAAAAACUGUGUGUAUUCAAGGCGUUUCACAUGAUGUUCUGAUACAUGCGUGCAUUGUGCCCAACUGGCUUCACUGUCAGUCGGCCAGGCUAUGCAGGUGCAGUGAGAUCAAGGUCAGAAACAGCAUCUCUUUGCAGUAGGUACCAGCACGUCAGAGAGCCUGAGCAGGGACGUGGCACGGCUUUCCUCCCUGAGAAGGCAUGACUUCACAUUAUCACAUUAUUCACAACUGAAUCAAAGGAGAAAACGCAGCGCUAUGGGGCUGGUGAAACGAGUGCCAAUUAUAUCAGGAUAUUUCAG